rnacentral:lncRNA from 1 species
UUAUGCUAUAUAUAUUUUAAGGACUAAAAUUAGCAAAUAUACCUCAGUAACAAAAUAAGUUAGAAUUGGCUAUCACCAUUAUUUACCACUACAAGUGAAAUGGUGUGCAUAUUAGGCUUAAGAAUAAUCGUUCUUUGCUUAGCCACUCAGCCAGCCUCCGAAAAACUGAGUAGUAAACUAUUUUUUGAUUCAGUUUUGACAAUGUCUAGUCUCUCGCUAUCUCUUUCUCUAGCGAAAUCAGGUGGUAAUUUUUACUAACUAUUACUAUUUAGAUACAGGCAACAGUAAAUGAAAAUAAGACUACUACAAUUAACAUGAUUUCAACCAAAAAUAAACAAACCAUGUACUAACAAAAUAUACAAAGAAUAAAACAGUGAGGAGGGAACUGGAAUUUCAUUAAUGUAAACCCAUCUUCAAUAUAAUAGAGGAACUCCAUAGAAGAUUGAACAAUAGCUACAAAUCGCAACAGACUCCGGACCAGAAACCUCAUCUGCGAAUAAUAGAGGAACUUAGAAAGGGAAGGUUACUACUGAAUUUUUUGAUGAAGGAGGCCGUUGGUGUUGAUCUCAAAAUGAGGUUUAUUGGCUGCUCGUUCAGAGAGGGCCUCUUCUGUUUUUCAUUCUCCCUCCCUUUUUCAUUUCUUGUGCCCAAAAGGACCCCCCUCCUCUUUUUUUUGUGUGUUAAUAUAUCUGGUGAGAUUAAUUGGGGAGCAAGCAAAGCUGGGUCAUGUGAGGAGAGUGUGCAUUGGAUAGAGAUGAAAAAAAAUGUGACGUGGAAGGAAUCCUGUGUAUGUAUGGAGUGAAUGAGAAGAUAUUUCAAGAAAAAAGUGUAUGUGGAUCAGAAUACCAAAAAUAUGUGACAAAGAGAAUAAAUAUAUGCAAGGAAUAUUCCUAUUCUGGUAACUGCAUUUGUGUAUGA